CACUUCUUUUUGGGCAUUGGUUGAGUAUACUUAUUUCUUGGUUAUUUUAAAUUACAGUUUAACUAUCUUUGAAGAUUAGAUCUUUACAUCAGUUAUCUCUAUUUUUCUUUUCUUGAAGUGAAUACUCUGUUUCUGAUAAUUUUUGUGUUAUAAACAAGUUCCAACAUUAUAGUAUGUCAUUCUUGGUAGCUCUCUGCUCAUGCCCACUUUCUUUUUUUUUUCCAGGGAACUGCAUAUGCUCACUUAUGCUUGUUUGAGUUGCCAUUUACUAUUAUUUAGGAUAUUGAAUUUAUCUUUGUCAUCUCUCUUCCUUCAUUCUUCAUCAUUCUCCUAAUAAAUGAAUGCUUUUUUUCCUUCCUGAGAGAUUUUAAUGUACAAUACAGAUUUUGCACACUGUAAAUAUAUCAUUGCCGCUUUUACUUUGACAUAAUGCAAAGUUUUGUGUUGACAAUUUACGAGGUUUCCCACCGCAGAAGAUAUGAAGCAAAGUCAUAGUUUUUAACCAGUCGGUUCUACUAUUUCAUGUGUUGAUGUAGACAAGUGCGAUUGUUACCACUGCAGUGUCUACCACACCAAAAUUACCAUCUGAGAUCACUGGAAGACUGUUGAAGAGAUCAUAAAGGAGUGGAAUGCAGAGCUACAGGCGUGUACUGGGAAAUUCCGAAAGCAAGCUACUGCAAUAGCUGAGUGGGAUAAACGUAUCUUGCAGAAUCGAGAUGUUCUUCUGAGGCUUGAGAUUGAAGUGGCAAAAGUAGUGGAGACCCAAGCCAGCCUGGAGCGGCAGCUAGAGUUAAUUGAGACUCAUCAACAAGAGGUUAACAAGGCAUUGCAAAGUAUGGAAGAAGAAGCUGAGCGUAUCUACAAGGGUGAACGUGGA